AAUAAGACAGAGAAUAAAUACAUACACGAUAUUGGUGCGUUUUCUGUAAAGAAAAGCAACUUUUAACAGUUCUAAGCUGUCGAUUCAUUGAGAGGGGAGUGUGUUUACUGGUUAGAACACUAAGAACUCAAGACGUUGCUACUCCAAAAGCUUUAACGUAUUGUGGUGUACCUUACAGCAGCACCAUUUGCACUACUAUCUAUAAUGAACGCAAAUUGAUGACGCGCUUAGUUACGCUAAACUUCGCUAUAUGCAUAUAUUAUUCAUUUAACACUAGGGAUUUAAAAAGAUGUUGGGUUUACUUUGUACUACGCUCACUGGUUAAAUGAAUAUUUACUAAUUAGCUUUGUUCGAGUGCCUAUGGCUUUUUUGGCCGUAUUGAAUAUAAGUAUUGCUGCAGUCAAAUAGAAAGCGGCUAUAAAAACUCUUCAAUUUUCAAUUGUUAUGAAGUCUAAUAAAUUACAUUUAGCAAUUGUAAAUUAUCAGGUUUAGCACUGUAUGAAAAUUCAUAUGGAAGAGAUUUAAUUAUACCAAUACAUACUCAUUUUAGUAGCAUUCUGAUAAUAAUUAUGAUACAUAUACAUACUCUGUAAACGAAAAAAGAGUAAAAACAAUGAGCAUCUCUCGGUUAAGAAAACUCUCAGGUUCUUUUAUCAUUUGCUGCGGACAAAAAUUAUAUGUACUGCUUGGAUAGCUGUGAAAUACGUUUAAAAAAAGUAAAAGAAAGGGUAAGUUGACAUUUAAUUGGUAACUAGUUAAAAACUAUAAAGGCUAUAAUGAAGAAAAUAAAUUCAAAACGAUUAAAAUAAAGGAAGUAGUAUACAAAAUCACAAAUAUAGAGUAAAGUUGAUCUAUAUGCUGAAAAAACUUUACAAUAUAUUCAUUUGGUAUAAUCUUUUCUAGAGGUUACGAUUUUUGAUAAACAUUGAGCAAACAAAUGCGCAGAAAAACAUGAAUGAGACAAACAAAAACGAAUAGUGAAUGCUACCCAAAAGUGCAUCCAGUACUGUUUGGCGAAUUUCUUCAGGUAAACGAUGAACAUAAGAAAUAUCUUUACGUAAGUGAUGAAGCAAUUCAUCAACGUCAAAAUCUAAUGAUUUUCUCAGUUUAAUUCCUAAAACAGUUUGCACGAUUGAGGAUGAUAUGGAAACGCCUAGGACACAACCAUUGGACCUAAACAAAUAUGAAGUAGCAAUAGCAGAAGCUUGAAAUGCUGACGGAGAAGCAUGAAUUAUGGCGACUAAAGUAGUAGUAACAGCAAUGCCGUUUCCUAAACCACCGGAAAAGGGAUAAACAGCAUAUUCCCAGUUAAAGUUCGAGUAGCCAUAACGAAGCAUGAAAAGGGCAGCAACACUACCGAAAAAAUAACUACCAACGGUUAUUUUCUUGUAAUUUCCGGUAAGACUAAUUACCGCACCUCCAAGAAGCGAACCCAAACUGCUGCCAAUAAUCAUUGGUAUCAGUCUAAUGCCAGAUUUCUCAGCACCUUCAUUUUUUAUGGAUUGAAAAAAAAGCGGCAUUCCAUAAAUCCAGCCAAAGUUAGCAACGGAGUGAAAGAAAUUGCAAAGAUAUGAUGAAAGGCAGGUUCUCUCAGUAAGAACAUCCAUUGGCGCCAGCGGCUCAAAAGCCACAAACGCUUCUACGUAAACAAAUGAAAGAUAUGAAAUAGAAGAAGCGAUCAGCAAAGAAAUAACAACAGGAUCAUUCCAUUCUCUAACAUUUCCACCUAAGGUAAAAGCACAAGUCAUCGUUGUGACACCAAUAAUUAGCAAGAUCAGACCUUUCAAAUCAAUUUUCCGAAAUCUGGUCAUGAAACUUACGUGGUUGUGAUGGGGAAGAUUAAGAGUAAAGUAAACACACAAAAAGGCGAUAGCAAUUAAGGGAACCUGAAUUAAAAAACCAAUUCUCCAAGUAUAUUGAUCGGCAAAGUAACCACCCACUGGUCCGCCAAGGCUUGAACCGAUAGCAAAAAAUACAUUUAUAAUUCCUUGGUAAGUUCCUCUUUGUUUUAAAGGCACGAUAUCGCUCAUUAAAAUGCUUACAGUCGAAUUCAUGCCUCCUCCACCAAUUCCAGCAAUAGCUCGAGCUGCUACUAGCUGCCAUAAAGAGCGAGAAGUACCACAAAGGAAGCAGCCUAUUCCAAAUACACAGUAAGCCGCCAGAAGAGUCUUUUUCCUCCCAUAGAUAUCGCAAAAUUUUCCGAACAAUGGUUGGAACGCAGUGCAAGAUAUCAUGUAUGCUGUAGCGGUCCAUGAAACUUGACUAAACUUUCCAAAUUCGGCACCAAUUUUCGUAUACGUAGAGGCGACAAUGGUAUUGUCUAAAGCAGCCAAAACAACACCCAACAAUAACGCCGGAAGAACUUUGGAAACAGAAACUGUAGACACAGUAUUAGUCGUCGCUGCAUCCUGGCGAUGAGGCGAAUUGCUAACUACAGACACUGAAGAUUCUGGCCUACGAGGGUACUCGUUCACUUCAGCAACAUCCUUGUUGUUUUUGGAAGAAUCUUUGAUAGAGUCAUAUGAUGAGUUUCCAUUUAAUGAAGACAGAGAGUCAUUCAAGAGAGCUGAGCGCUCUGAACGUAAUCCUUGACCUCUGUUUGUAUUAGGAGAUUUGGUUCUUGGGUUCGACAUUCGAUUAAUUAGCUACAAUUGGAUGAAUGCACAUGAAUAAGUAAGGAGUGUUUCGAGACGACAAAAUCUGAAAUUUAUGAAUAUAUGCGAAUCCUAAAUCGUACAAAAUGAAAGAACUUCAGUGGUAGUGCAUUUGUUAGUAAAUGUUAUGACUGCCUCCCUUACUUAAAUUUGUAUACUUCUCGCUAACAUCUAUUAUCUUAUCAUUUCGGUAAACAAAGUCCGGUUAGAUACGGGACAGUGUGCUCGGAUACGCUCCCGAAGUCUCGUCAUAAAUCUAUAGUAUUAUACCAACUUGCGUUUUCAAGUCGGUUAUUAGCGCCAUUGAAGGCUCGGUCAAAUAUAAAAAAAUUGGCUCUUCGAAAAUUUUAAUAUGUAGCUCCUCCAAGUAAAAAAAUAUGCAAGUGAUUGUCAUUCUUUGAGAUGUGUACGUCUCAUAGAUAACCAACUACUGUAAAAUAAAAACAUCAAAAAUUUGUAAUGCAUAUCUUAACUUGCAAAGGAUGCCGAGAUUGGUGAAAUAAAUGAAUGCGUUUACCAAUUUUUAUUUAUCGGAAAUCCUUUUCAGUCGCAUAAAAUCACUUGGUUUACUAACUGAAACUAUUAACUUAUAUGGGUUUGAAUUUUGAAAUACAUAUGUUUAGUUAAUUUGCUCAUUGAAUGGAUCUGUAAUCAAAUAGAUGAUUAUAUUCUUAACAAAGCAUUCUGAUCUAUAAGUAAAAUUACAAGAUGAACAAAUUAUAUCUAAUCUAUAUAUUCAAAUUAGGUGUGAGCUCAAACAAACUUGCUUGAAAAAUAGUUGCUUCUGUGUAACUUCGCAUUUGCUUCAUAAAAAGUCAAAGAAUAUGAAAUGCACCUGAAACGCAGAAUGGACCCUUUGUUGAUAACUUCAAGUAUUUUGCUUAAUUGUGAAAUUUAA